GGGAAACAGUUUGACGGGUGGCAGGCCAUUGAUGCCACGCCCCAGGAGGAAAGUGAAGGCGCGUUCUGUUGUGGUCCCGCCCCAUUGAAGGCCAUCAAGGAAGGGCUGAUCUACAUCGGCCAUGACACGCCCUUCGUGUUCGCGGAGGUCAAUGCGGACUUAGUGACUUGGGAAGAGGAUUCAGUGACCAGAAAACUCAAACAAGUGAAGCGGAUCAGGAACAUUAUUGGCAAGAAUAUCAGCACCCACAGUCCAUCCCGUGAGUCACAGGUCGGGCUGCAGCGACUGGAUGUAACUGACCAGUAUAAGUAUCCG